ensembl:misc_RNA Y_RNA Y RNA
GGCUGGUCCGAGUGCAGGGAGGUGUACAACUAAUUGAUCAUAACCAAUUACAGAUUUCUUUGUUCUUUCUCCACUCCCACUAUUCUACUUGACUAGCCUUAA